GCGCUGGCAAAAUCCAGCGCCGGGAUUGGAACCCCGCAAGCUACAUAGAGGCAUUAAAGACGCGCCCGGCGUCUUUUUU
rnacentral:sRNA from 1 species